rnacentral:rRNA from 1 species
CAGCAGCCGCGGUAAUACGAAGGGGGCUAGCGUUGCUCGGAAUUACUGGGCGUAAAGGGCGCGUAGGCGGACAGUUCAGUCAGGGGUGAAAGCCCGGGGCUCAACCUCGGAAUUGCCUUUGAUACUGGCUGUCUUGAGUACGGGAGAGGUGUGUGGAACUCCGAGUGUAGAGGUGAAAUUCGUAGAUAUUCGGAAGAACACCAGUGGCGAAGGCGACACACUGGCCCGUUACUGACGCUGAUGCGCGAAAGCGUGGGGAGCAAACAGGAUUAGAUACCCGCGUAGUCCCUGUCUCUUAUAC